CCAAAAUUUAGCUGCUCUGGUUCAGGCCAGUUGCACGCUUCAACCCUUUGUGAACCAAAAAAACCUUACGCUUCGGCAGCUGGUCUCUGACUGUAAGCCUGCCGACGGCACCAAUUUAAACCUGUCGUAAAACAAUUGUCUGAACUAAACAUUUUCGAAUGAAAAUUA
rnacentral:misc_RNA from 1 species